UCGAGCGCUACCUUCGGGUGGAGCGGCGGACGGGUUAGUAACGCGUGGGAAUAUACCCUUCACUAUGGAAUAGCCUCGGGAAACUGAGAGUAAUACCAUAUACGCCCUUCGGGGGAAAGAUUUAUCGGUGAAGGAUUAGCCCGCGUAAGAUUAGAUAGUUGGUGGGGUAAUGGCCUACCAAGUCUACGAUCUUUAGCUGGUUUUAGAGGAUGAUCAGCAACACUGGGACUGAGACACGGCCCAGACUCCUACGGGAGGCAGCAGUGGGGAAUCUUAGACAAUGGGCGAAAGCCUGAUCUAGCCAUGCCGCGUGAGUGAUGAAGGUCUUAGGAUCGUAAAGCUCUUUCGCUAGGGAUGAUAAUGACAGUACCUAGUAAAGAAGCCCCGGCUAACUCCGUGCCAGCAGCCGCGGUAAUACG
rnacentral:rRNA from 1 species